rnacentral:lncRNA from 1 species
CGAUCAGUCUCCCUCUGUCCAAUGACCUGCAGGGAAAUGAUGCUGCCCUAAUGGAGGAAAAUCAGAAGCUCACUGCACAGGAGCAGAAGAGGCAGUUAGAGAAAGCAUUGGAGAGGACCCCUCAUUCCACUGCUCAGGAAAGUGAUCUGAUGAUCCCUGUAAAGGAAGAGAUGACGAGCACCUUUCACUCCUUAAACAUCAAACAGGAGGAAACUGAACCUGAGGAUCAGACAGAUCCUACAGUUGUACAUCAGCACUACCAACGCGAUGAUCAAAGCUGUGCAAACAAGAAGAAGGAGGAAUCUUCUGGUUGGAGCUGGACCUUUUGUCUAAUGAGUGUGUUGAUCAUUUUUCUUACACUUGUGGUCUUUGUGGCUCCAGGAUGUUCCUAUCAGCUCUGCCCUCUUUUGAAGGACUUACUCAAGAUGUUGCAACCUCAUCUCAGCCUUACCUACAAGUCCAGACCUCCCAUGUGAAAUCACUACACAACC